UUCGUUGCCGAGCUUUCAUCAGCUUCUAUUUUCAAAUUUUCCACACAAAUAUGUGCAAUAGAAGCAUUCAUAUAUUUGUAUAUACAUGAAAAGUAAAUACAUCUAACACUUUCAUCCAGCCAUCCAACUUCUGAAUACCAAGAUCUGUGGUUUUCAGAAAAAUCACACAGCAGGGCCUGCAGCUGCACCAGGAAUUUUAGCUGUAGCAGUUGCAGCUUAAAGCCCAGGUGAGGUGUUCCUGCCCCAGGAGGACAGGCUGGGCAGGGGCUGGCAACUCCUUGAUACCCAAGGGGAUGCUGGCUCUCAACUUCAAGGGGAGCACAGGCACCCUUUGGCCUCAUUUCUGCCACUCUGUGUCCUGUUGGGUGGUUGGUCCCAGCCUGGAUCAGGACAAAUGCUGGAUGUAAGUUACCCUGGGCAACCUCAGGGCAGAGAGGGCAGUGGCAGUGAGGCUGAAACUUGGUUUAUGGGUGAAGGGAUUGCAGGUGGCAGAACUGCUGCUCCAAAUGUUUCUCAAUAGGGUUACUGCAGGUUUGGGAUUAAUACUGUAAAAUACUAUAAUUAUGGGUAUUUUUAUUAUGUAAAUUUAAGAGGAAUGGAAACAGCAUAUGAUUUUUUUUUAAUUAUUUUUUUCACAGCUUGUAUGUGGGUACCCAUGAGCUUUUUAGAUACUAUAUUAAAAAUUAAUUUCAAACAUGAAUAAGAAAUAGCAGGUGUGGAAAGUUUUGUCUCAGCUAGAAUGGGAAAUGCGAGGUGCCUUCCUGGAGCUCUGCUUCCAGUUUGCUGGCUUCCCAAAGUGCAUGGAACAAGUGUGUCUGUGACCAAUGGAGCCCAUAAAGCAUUUUGAAAUUGUCUCUAGUGCUCAUUUCUUUCUCCAGGAAGAACUAAUUUUAAAUAUUCCAGCAGGCCUUCCUGGAGAUACAGUACCUUUUUCCCCUGACUGCAUCUUUUUGCUGUUUCUUUUUUAAGAGAUCUCAUCUCACAGAUGUUUACUUACAGCCUCGUAUUGCCCAGAUGCAUCACUCAGAUGCAUCUCAGGCUCUCUACUCUGUUGGUUGGUCCCCUCAGCUGCUGUCUUUGGACAGCAGUGUAUCAGGAAGGAGCCACUGAUUAAUGAAGCUUGGUUAGACUAAAUUUAGGGGCAACAAAACAUUUCUGUAGAAGACACAGUGUUGGUGGUGCCUGGGAGGAAUGCAGACUGCACAAAUAAAUCUGUACUCCAGAGGGAGAGCUGACAUGAGACACACACAAGACACUCAGCAACCUUGUCUUCUGCACUUGCUUUUUAGUGUGCAUGGCCAGAAAGUCUAUUUUAUGAAGAAAUCCACAAACUCUGUGUGUCUGUCCAGGUGCAGGUCAAUGAGUUCAGUUCAGCAUGUGUUGCUGGGGUGGUCAUGUGAUGGUUCAAAUAGCAGCCAGUCUCCUGGAGGUACUUGCACAUGAACUGCUGAUGGAGGUACUGCUAGGUGAGGAGUCCUGCAGCCACAUUUGCCACAUCUCCUGGUGAUACGAUGGGAGCGCUGUGGCCUGGUGGUGCACCCAGCAGGGAGGAUGUGUGUAUUGCUUGGUGUUCACGUGGGACUCAGGGGCAGUUCACACGCUUGUAAAAUUGAUUUCAAAUAAAGGAAGCUCUAUUUUAAAAUUAGCAAUGCUGAAGCUUAAAAUUAUCUCUUCCUUUAUUACUAGGACAUAUUUUUAGGACCUAAUUCAUGUCUCGUGUGAAUGCAGUCCACCCACUGCUACGUUGGGAGUACUGAGCUGGAGUCUGAGGGCUGGGUGUUACAUCUUCCAGAAAUAGGUGCUACCCAAGAAUUUGAAUAUUUACAUUCUUUGCCUUUUAAAAAAUGUGUCCACUGAAUUGAGGCCUGUAUAUAGCUUUAAAAUAGUGAAAAAGUAAAGUAUGAACUGCUAGCCUUUGCUUUCCUGUAUUUUGAUCCUCAUUUUUAUUUUGGUUGCUUGAGGGGGAUCAUUGCUUAGUUUGCAACUAGAUGCAGCAAACUGGAAAAAAAGUCUCAAAUAUAGUCACAAUUUCUUGAAGGGGGGGGGGGGGGAAGAAAGUAUGUUUCCUGUUUUCUGCAGUCUCAUCUUGAGCUGCAGUACCACAGUGGUUGGCAUCCAUCGGUACCUGAAGCAAUUUAUGCCCCACUGUCUUCAGUGGUCAGUGUGAGGCUAAAACUAAUGACAUACCUACAUUACUUGCUCACUGAAGCACCUGCAGCUGGUGUUCAUGAUGGUAAGCUCAGCCAAAAAUCUUCUUCUGGGAGCCAAAGGCAGUGUCUGGCCUUCGGAGGAGUCUCCAGUACCUGGAUCAGUGGCAGUGGCUUUGAAGCAUGGAGUUCAGUAUGUCUCUACUAAUUAAAGAGCCCUGUUGGUGCAACAUUUAGCAAGCUAUCAAGCUAGAUGAUGAACUUCAAGGAGACAGGAGUUUACUUACCCCAGAAACAAGCCACUGCUCUCAUUAGUGCUGUUGCUACAGGCAGAAGCAGCCUGUGGUUGCGUGCUGCACCUUGCCCUUCCUGACUUUGAGCACACCACUUGCAACUGUGUUCAUCAUCCCCUUUCAGAUGUCACUACCCUACCCUGAAUAUUCAUGGUGUUAAUGAUGUCAUUAACACAGUGUGACCCUGCAGCCCUUAUUCCCAGGAGCUGCUCUGACAAAGCAAGGUAAGAUAACGACACAAGCCGGUGUGGCAGGAACAGGCCUUUGUCUUCUUGUCAGAGUGGCCAGAAUUUCCUCACACGCUGCUCCUGGACUCCAUCUGACACUAUCAUAGUCUUCUUACCGAGAAAGACCUAUUCUGAGGAGCAGGGCAACAAGGUUUUGGCAUCAAGUAGUGCAGCAGGAGGACUGUCUCAGUGCCUCUGUGUUUGAAAGGUAAGGAGAGCCCAAGGAGGCUUUCAGUACUGCCACCUCACAAAUAAAUCAGAAGUAUAAAUGAUGUAAAAUGUGUAUGUUUUGUCGUAGAACAGGGAUGGAAUUAUGCAUCCAAAAAAAAAAAGAAAAAAUCCCCAACUCAAGUCGUUAUUUUAUUUAAAAUAAUAAUAAAGCCUCUUAUUUGGGCACUCUACUCCACAGAUUAAUGUGAUCAACCCAAUAACCAUGUUCCUGAAAAAGUAAAAAA